CGGGGGCAUCUCAGGCUGCCCUGACUCUGCAUCGCGCCAUGGAGCUGGCACGUUAGGCUUUGUCCCCACCGGGGCUGGGAGAGUGUUGUUCCCUGCGCUGCGCGUAUGGGUGCCAGGCUGUGCUGCAGCCCUGCUGCCCUGGGACGAGGGGUUGCAGCCCUGGGGUCUGCUGACCUGGGCUCUGCCUCCCCUCGCAGACUACGAGAAGAUGUUUGGCACCAAGUGCCGUGGCUGCGACUUCAAGAUCGAUGCUGGGGACCGGUUCCUGGAGGCGUUGGGGUUCAGCUGGCACGACACUUGCUUUGUCUGCGCGAUCUGCCAGACCAACCUGGAAGGGAAGACGUUCUACUCCAAGAAGGACAAGCCGCUGUGCAAGAGCCACGCUUUCUCCCACGUGUGAGGGGCGAGAGUCCAGCUGCACCCACGCAUGCCCCAGGCCCUGCAUGCUCCUCUCCCCCCCGUCCCCUGCCCCCAGGGAGCCAGGCUGGGAACUCGCCCCUUCCCCUUGCUCUUGCCUCUUUCCUGGCAGCUCCUGGCCCUGCUCCAGCCCGGAGGCAGCGCGGGGCCCUGAACCCCUUCUGGC